rnacentral:lncRNA from 15 species
AUGUUUUGUUGUUUUACUUUUGCAGGUGAAGAUUCAGACUGUGAAUUUGAACUGAGAGUACGACGCAACACAGUUUAUGAAGUUUUCCUCGGGGAAGACUUAAAGAUUAACUGCACAGUUCGUUUCUGCAACGACUCACCACCAACAGUCUCCUGGUAUAAAUUUGAGAAAGGAUUUGUUCCUGUCAAUGUGAGCAGUGGCAGUCACAUUAAAACAGGGUGGGAAGAUGUAAAACAUUUGGAAGGAAUAUCGUAUUUGAUCUUCAAAAACAUUCUCAUGAGCAACUCAGGUGUGUAUCAGUGUCGAAGUGGUCUCAUUGUGGGACACCCCAUCAACGUCUCUGUCAUUGAUUGUGUUGAGCUCACCGAUGUUACAGUGCAGACUAACACAAUGACAUUUAACAGCUCUAGCCCAACAGUUCAGGACGCCCGCCUGCCAUAUGUGUACCGUCUGGCUGCAAUCAUGGUGUUUGUCAUCAUAUUGAUAAUUAUAUGGGCUACAUCAAAAUACGGCUGUAAAGGUGAGACUUACAGUAGUUGUUCAGCAGCACGGACACUCGGCAGACUUCCUGCUGAAGGUCUAAUCUGA